ACGCGAGAAGGCAUGUGAGUGGGGAGAGAGGAAGAGCCAGGGCAGAAAAACCGAGAAUCCCUCCCUGAGCUCCUUGCUGCCAGAUAAUGGAAUUUCAUCUUGGGUGAAGUGUAUUUCCAACUUCAAAAGCCUGCUAGUAGAAUCAAAGAAGUUUUGAAAAGUUGGAAAAUUGAAGAUGAUAAAGAAAGAGCAUUAGGGGUAAGUUCAA